UACGUAGGGUGCAAGCGUUGUUCGGAGUUACUGGGCGUAAAGCGUGCGUAGGCGGUGGUCCAAGUCUGGUGUGAAAUCUCCCGGCUUAACUGGGAGGGUGCGCCGGAAACUGGGCCGCUGGAGUACGGGAGAGGCAAGCGGAAUUCCAGGUGUAGCGGUGAAAUGCGUAGAUAUCUGGAGGAACACCCGUGGUGCAGCCGGCUGGCUGGCCGUGACUGACGCUGAGGCACGAAAGCGUGGGUAGCAAACAGG
rnacentral:rRNA from 1 species